UACGUAGGGGGCAAGCGUUGUCCGGAAUCAUUGGGCGUAAAGCGCGCGUAGGCGGCCCGGUAAGUCCGCUCUGAAAGUCCAGGGCUCAACCCUGGAAAGCGGGUGGAUACUGCCGGGCUAGAAUCCGGAAGAGGCGAGUGGAAUUCCUGGUGUAGCGGUGGAAUGCGCAGAUAUCAGGAGGAACACCAAUAGCGAAGGCAGCUCGCUGGGACGGUAUUGACGCUAAGGCGCGAAAGUGUGGGGAGCAAACAGG
rnacentral:rRNA from 1 species